rnacentral:rRNA from 1 species
GACAGAGGGUGCAAACGUUGUUCGGAAUUACUGGGCGUAAAGCGUGUGUAGGCGGCCAUGUAAGUUGGAUGUGAAAGCCCCGGGCUCAACCCGGGAAGUGCAUUCAAAACUGCGUGGCUUGAGUACUGGAGAGGUUGGUAGAAUUCUCGGUGUAGAGGUGAAAUUCGUAGAUAUCGAGAGGAAUACCGGUGGCGAAGGCGGCCAACUGGACAGAUACUGACGCUGAGACACGAAAGCGUGGGGAGCAAAC